GACUAAUGUGGUGAUUACCCUCACAAGCCUUUAAACACUCGUAUAAUGUCAGAAAAUAUUUAUACAUAUGUACAUAUCUACAUAAAUUUCGCAUAAAAAAUCUUUUCAAUGUUUUUCAUUCUUUCUCGAACUCCAAUACAUAUACGAGUAUGUAUAUGCCAACUGACCGUUUAUUUACAUGAAUUCGAUAUCUCAAUUUAAGCUCCAUUUACCGUAUUAUUUAGAUAGUUGUCAGUACUCCGAUUACUUUCGAUUUGCUUUGAGGCCUGCUUAACGCAAAGCUUUACUGUACAAUUUAUUUUGAUCCUCUACAGUUAAACAUCAAUUUAUCAUAAAUUAUACCAGUUAGUGGAUAUUUUAUACCAGUGUAUUUGAAGCAUAAUCCAAUUGUCUAUUAUUUGAACUGGUAUAAACUGUUCAAGGUUCCGACAGAAAUCUGACAAAUUUCGGCUCACAAAAGAAUACCAACCAACUACUGAGGAAACGUUGAUCGACUAACUAAAAUGAUCACGAAGCAUACACAUCCGCAUAGCGAAACGAAAAAAACCUUUUCAGCUAAAUAUCUCCAUUUGGCGAGUGACGCGUACAAAAAACUGGUAAGGUGAGACAUAACACAAUGGAAGCUCCUCUGCAAUCUAUCUACAUAUAGAUAUAAGAGGGAUAGAGCGGAGUUCGUACAUAGAUAAUAUUCAACAGCAAAAUGUAAAGAACUUGAGAGGAAUUUUUGGCAAACAUAUUUCUCAUUAUGAAGUGAGUAUUUAUUAAAAUAUUUAAUUGUAAACUUGUUUGACUACUAGUUACAUAGAUAGGAGGAGGAUGCGCCACUAAUCGUAGACCUUUAUAUUGCUGAUAGCUCGUUUCAUUGUUUCGUUCAAACCAUUUUGUGCUUUCGGUGGGACUACUUAUUCAAUGUUUGUCGGAUUUGCGAGAAAGUGCAAAUUUUUAUUCUUUAUUCCUUUCACAGUCGCGGCAAAUGUUGUUGUAGUGCAGAUCCAUUUUCAUCGCAUGUUCUCCAAAUUGCUAUUGUCCCGGAGAUGUAAGUCUGAAUAUAAGCCAUAUCUGUUUUACUAUUUUGUAUUUGGUUGUAUGUUUCCAUCCGUUCUCAGUUAAUUGUUUAAAUUUUAUAUGGAGCUCCCUCUUGAUCAUUCCUAGCGGGUAUGAUAUUAUCUCUGCCGCGGAGGCUCUAGCCUUUGCCAACUCGUUUACUUUUUCGUUACCGGAAAUGUUCCCGUGGCUUGGAACCCAGACCAUGUUUAGGUUGAAUUUUUCUUCCAGGGCUACGUAGGAAUUAGUCUUUGGCGGCUGCAAGGUAGGAGUACCGCCUGGCUAUCUGUGUAUAUAGUUGUUUCCGGUAUACUCUUGUAUGGAUUUUGCUUCCGCCGUUUUUUUUUUUUGUAAAUUUAAGGCUUUUUUGUAUAGAAACAGUUACAACAAGUAAGGAAGGGCUAAGUUCGGGUGUAACCGAACAUUUUAUACUAUCGCAAUUUAUUUAUUUAACUUUAUUAAUAUUAUAUAAUACACAAUUUGACCCACAUAUUCGUCAUAUAUAUUGUAUAAAGUCCAUUGAAAGUUGGACAUCCUAAUAUUAGGUUAGAAGUACCGAGGUCCUCAUGUUCGAUAUAUGGGGCCUUGACAACCUAUGGUCCGAUUUCGGUGAUUUUUAGAAUGGGGCUGCCACACUAUAAACGUAGUAUUUGUGCAAAGUUCUGCAUCGAUAUCUUCACUAGUGCUUACUUUAUAUAUUGUAAAGUAAACGAUUCAGAUCGUCUUCAAAGUUCUGGUAUAUAGGAAGUAGUCGUGGUUGUGAAGCGAUUUGGCCUGUUUUCACAACAUAUCAUUGGGAUGUAAGGAAACUACUACAAACCAAGUUUCAUUGAAAUCGAUCGUGUAGUUCCUGAGAUAUGGUUUUUGACCCAUAAGUGGGCGAUGCCACGCCCAUUUUCCAUUGUGUUAAAAAAUCUGAGUGCAGCUUCCAUAUGCCAUUUCUUAUGUGGAAUUUAGUGUUUCUGGCGUUUUUCGUUAUUGAGUUAACCCACUUUUAGUAGUUUUCAACAUAACCUUUGUAUGGGAGGUGAUCAUGGUUACAAUCCGAUUUCCUCCAUUUUUGGACUGUAUAAGGUAGUACCUAAAAUAAACGACUCUGGAAAGUUUCCUUGAUAUACCUUCAGUAGUUUGCGAGAUAUGUACAAAAAACUUAGUAGGGGGAGGGGCCACGCUCACUUCCCCAAAAAAAUUACAUCCACAUAUGCCCCUUCCUAGUGCAAUCCUUCAUACCAAAUUUUACUUCCAUAGCUUUAUGUAUAGCUUAGUUAUGGCACUUUAAGUGUUUUCGGUUUUCGCCAUUUUGUGGGCGUGGCAGUCCGAUUACGCCCAUUAACCUUCUUAUGGUGCCAAGGAACACGUGUUCCAAGUUUCAUUAAGAUAUCUCAAUUUUUACUCAAGUUACAGCUUGCACGGACGGACGGACAGACAGACAUCCGGAUUUGAACUUUUCUCGUCACCCUGAUCAUUUUGAUAUAUAUAACCCUAUAUCUAACUCGUUUAGUUUUAGGACUUACAACCAACCGUUAUGUGGACAAAACUAUAAUACUCUCGUAGCAACUUUGUUGCGAGAGUAUAAAAAUGUUAUUCAAAAUAUUGGCCGGCAGCAUGCGUAUUCCGUGCAAAUAUCGAGAAUUCGGCUCAAAAAGAGGCAUUUUGACAGUUGAGAAAUACAAAUAGAUCUCUACAAAUAUUUUGUUGAGUUAAUGUUGACACAAAUGUCUAAGAUCGAUAUAAAACGAUUUAAUCGAUUUAUUCGACCAGUGCUUGUCCCUGGAGACAUCUAUUGGAAAACGGCGGAAGCAAAGUUGUAGACCAAUAGUUAUUCAAUAGCGCCUCACAGACCUUCUCUAUGUCCUUUAGCUUGGCAGAUACUAGCUGUGUUGGUAGACGGUUAGAGGGAAAGAGAGAGAUGUUAAGCUCACCACAAACUAUUUUCGCUGCUAUAAAAUUUCGAAAAAUAAAAACAUCAAUAAACAUUGAAUUCUUUGGGAAAUUCGAAAAAAAACUUUUAUUUCGAGUUUUACUUUACAAAAGAAGAACAUCUGUAUGUAUGUAUGUUGGAUAUUUGUUGCUUUGCGCACAUUCAUUGCUUUCGAGUGCAUCAUUGUAUUACUUAAUUUACAUAAACUAAAUUUAUAUUAAAGUGCGUGUGUUUGUGUUUUAUGUUACAAUUGCUUUCCGAAAUGGCAAGCAUUCAUGCAUACAUACAUA